GCUCCUGGAGCUCCUUUCCCUCUCUGACGAUGUAAUUCUCUACAGGGACGUCAUUGAUCCAGUCUCCCCUGGUAAACAGAACCAUGCAGUGUCUCCACACUCUCUCUGUUAAUGGCUUCAUGAUCUCCAGCAGAGCUUUGAGAUCUUUCUCUGUGAAAGAUCUGAGGAUGGGAACAAGCAGGAGAAAAACAUGAGG